UAAUAUCAGCUACUUUAACACAGUUAUAAACCUUUGCUUGUUUAACAAAUAUAAAUAACACAUUUCAUUUUUAAAGAAACAUUUGUCACAUGGAUUUUCUUUAGUCUGUUUUUGAUACAGAGAGCAGUGCUAUUAUAUCAGACACAUAAUUUAAUAUAAGAUAACUAAACCUAUUCUGCAACCUCUUGUGUUUUUCAGAAUCUUUGCACAAAUUGUACACACUGCAGGAUUUGAUAGGAACAGGAAGCUACGGCAAGGUGUUCAAGGCAGUCCGAAAAUCAGACGGCCGAGAGGUUGCCAUCAAAAGAACGCAGAAAUGGAGCAACUACUGUUCUCUUCAGAUUCCUGGUUGUUCCAGACGUCUGGCUACAGAAGUGGGGCUGAUGCUGAUGUUGAGACGUCCUCCAGUGUGCCCCUACAUCAUAGAAAUGUACGAGUGGUUCGAUCAGCCCCUGGUCUUCUCGCUCGUUCUGGAGUUCC